AAUUACCCUAUAUAAUAAAAUAUAAUGCACUGAGAUUUGCAUAAUUCACAAAAGAAAACUAUUCAUCAAUAAAAUCAUAAUCCAAAAUAUCUAACUUGUGUAUCAAAAUAUAUAAUGGCGAACUUAAUUUUUCACAAAUUUCAAAAAUAAAUAAUUCCUAGAACAUCUGAAAUUCUAGCAACGAUCACUAAUACAUCCAAGUUCUUCUCUGCUAUUAUCUAUCAUUCAUUCAUUUGCUUCACCUACAAAAAAUUAUAAAUAAAUAAUUAGUAAAAGUUUCAUAAAAGAAUAUAUUCACAAGCAGUAUUACACCAAAAACAUAUUAAUUUUUUGAGAUCUCAAUAUCAAAGGAAACCUUUUCUUCUUAUAGAUGUAAAUAUUACAUCCAAUCAUUUCUAGGAGCCAUCAAUUAAUUGAUGUUGUAAGCACUCCAAAUAAUAAAGUAUAAAAUCACUAAACACUUAUGUCAGUAUAAAUUUUAUAGAAAAUUGAAACUAUCAUUUACAAGUGAGGAAGAUUUUGCCACCCUAUCUUUGGUUUUUCAUGCUGGAAAAUAAUCAUAGACACUUACUCGAGGUUUUCCUUGGCUUCAAUAACUACAGGUUGCUCUUUUCUUACUGCAAAGGCAGCCUUAGCUACAUCUUGAGCAGCUAAAGCUUUUAAAUGAAGUUUAGUCAUUUAAUCUUACUAAUAGACUGCAUUUUCCUGUUAUACUUUUAAAUGAAGAUUAAUUACACCCUUUUAGUGCAACAUAUAUUUUUUUUGUUUGGUUCAGAGAGUAUCUACCCGUUAAUAUUAUAGCAUGACCUCGUCUGUUAGAUCCAUUUUCAGGUGAGAUACUCGAAAGCAGUAGAACAGCAACAUAUAGUACAAUAAGAGUCUAAGCUAUUUAGCAAGAAUAGUGUUGCAGUCCUGUAGUAUCAAUAAUCUGAUUAAUUGGUAAGAAUAAGAUGUUCAUUAAUUAGUUGAAGAACUUGGUUAUGGUCUUACCAAUCCUAAAAGUCGAGGGUUUUGCUUUCUAUGCUUUUGAAGCAUAGUUCUCAAAAAGACAACAAUCUCCAACUUAAAAAGCAACCGAAGCACCAAGGUCACAAGUAAAUAUAAAAAAAGAUAUUGCACCAGAAAGGUUGUCUAAAAUAAAAGAUGAUAAGAUCUUUAACAUCUUUUGGAUAAUCCAGGCAGGUAAUAAUGGAUAUAAUUUGUGGCAUACAGAGUAAAUAAAGCUCACUGCUUUUCUAAAGCAUAAUGAAUUCUAUAAAUUGUAGAUUGUAUGAGGAGUCUUGAUCAUGGUGGUAUCCAGCUUACUUAAUCAAGCUAGGCCAUCUUUGUAAAUGAACAACCUUUGAAAUAUAAAGUCGUUCGAUUAAUUAUUUAGCCUCCAAGUUUCUAUUCAAGCAAUAAUACGUAAUAGUCAUCUGCAAUUUUCAUCAUUUUGACACUUUCAAUAUAGUAUUCAUAACUUCUCUUCUGAUGGAUAGACUUUCUCAUAAUAUUCUUUCAGUAAGCAGCUUAUUCCAUGGCUGUUAUUUAGGUUUUUCAGUAGUUAUUGUCCUUAUUUUCAUUUAAAGACUUUAACUACUCACACAUCAGGUUUUCAUGUUAAUUGCUUAGGUAGUAUGAAAGUAAUAUGCCUUCUAUAGGGAAGAAGCUAUACAAUUGAUCUAUAUCAAUAGCAGAAAGUUUGCACACACUACUAAAGGAUAAUAGUCUUUAAGAUAUGUACCUUGUUAGAAAAACCAAUCUGACCAAUAACUGCUAUUCCUUAAUGCUUAAUUCUAAAUCUAUUGCCUCUUGACAUAUGCUUCUAGCAGCCCUGUUACUCCUAAGACAAGUCAUGACGCACAAAUAAUCAGGAACUCACAAUAACGUAACCAAAUAAUAAUUGACAUAAAGCUUGAACAGUAGUCUAAAACCAAGAAUUAUAAAUAAUUAACUUAUCUUUUCUUCAGAAAGUCAAUAGUGACUUAUAGCCUAUACUCCAAAAACAAACCUCCAUUUGCUUCAAACUUUCAUCGCUUGAUACAAAAUUCAAGCAGGCUACUGGGGUAUCUGACACGGCAGCUUAUGGACUGGAUACUGUUGCAGCUAUGGUCCUGCAGCUCAUACACAAGCUACAAUAAUCAUUGGGCUAGCCAUCUUAACUUUACCAGUAAAUCUAUUAAAGAAAUAAUUAUGAAUCUUAAAUUUUUAAAAUGUCAAUUUCCAUAUGAAUCAGUAAAUUCUUCUAACAAAAAUCUCACAUGAAAUAAAAAAUAUAGAAAACCAAAGAGGCAGGUAUCGCGAAAGAUUUUUAUCUCCCAGUUUUCUAUCUAAAAGAAUUCACCCCGGAUAGUCAAGCCGGUAUUAUUUUACCUUUUUAUGAUUGAAUACCAAUAUAUAAUAUAAAAGAAAUAGUACUGAAGUGAAUGAUAGUAGGUGUUGGGAUUAGUUACUCAAUAAUGCAGUAGGAUAACAAGUGUUAGGAUUAGUUACUCACUUAUUCAAUAAGAAAGUGACUUGGAUCUCUCUUAUAUUCUCCCUCUCACACAAGUUUUUAUAUAGCUAUAUAGUUUCUCUCUUGCUUUUCUCCAUCACACAAGGUUUAUAUAUUCAUUUUCUUUUCUUUUUCUCGUACGUCUCAACUCAAGGCUCAAAGGAAAAAAAUCAUCAGAACAAUAAAAAUUACUACCAUGAAGAAACUAGCUUCCAUUAAUAAGUUAAUACAUUCUCAUCAAGCUCUCAUCAUACAAGUAGACUAUUCUCGUUAGUAAAUUAAAUAUUACUAGUAAGUUUCGGUAACAACAAACUCAAAAUACAAAAUGCUUAUGAUAGUAGGCAUAUUUCGAACUGCAAAAGAAAGUUAACCCUAUACAAAACACAAUGACCAAAGUUCUUUUAUGGAUGCUUUAAUAAUAAUUAAAAAUCACCAACUCGUAACGACGUAACUAUUACUUAAUCUGGAGCUAAAAUCACUUUAACACUCUAUAAUUGUUCACAUAGUUCAGCUCCUUCACUCCAUUCCUGUAUUGUCAAUUAUAGAUACCUUUGCACGUGUAAAAAAUUGAGAAACUACUGUCCAAAAACAAGCAAAACAAUUGAAAAAUUCACAAAAUCCUAGAGAAACUCAUCUAAAUCUACUUUAGAGGCUCAAGACACAAAUGCUUGAGAAAAAUCUAAGUUCAAACCAGAGAAGAGUGAGCAUAGACAACCAUAUAAAUUGUAAGAAACUCCAGGUAGUAGGAAAAUUUAUAACCUGACAUAAAUUCCCAAUUUCAUUCAAUGAAGAUCAUAUUAACCUGAUUAAGUUCAUACGCAUAACAACCAAACACUUUCAUUAAAUCCAAAAUCUAGGAGCAUUAUAACUGUGAAAUCACAUGCAAUAUCACAUAUAAAAACCAAAAGGGAAGAGAAAACGGACCUUCAAUUGAGCAAAAUUUACCAAAUACUUUGACCUACCAGGGAUCUCGAUAAAUCUGCAAACCCUAGUUUUGAUAACACAUCUCUAAAUCUCUAAGACUUCAAACUACAGUUGGUGAAGAGUUGUUUUAAGAUGAAUUUGGGGAUUCUACAAUUGAUUUUGUAUGAUGAUUUUUGGUGUAAAGGACUGAUUACAAGUUCUAGAUUCUCGUUUUGGACAAAAAAUGGGAGAUGAAGUCUAGGCUGAAGAAGCUUGAAAAUGAAAUAUAGUCGGCGUUCUAGAUUUGCUUGAUGACAUCUGGAUCUGCGAUAUCCCUUUGCUAAAUCUAGAUUCGAGAUCUCCCUUUGCUCGAUAAGAACUGGGUCGGCAUUGUGCCUUUACUCGAUGAGAGGGUUUCUAGAAGUGAUUUGAUGUAUUUUUUAGAGGGAUUCGAUGGGUUCUCUAGAGAAAUGUUAUAAGAGUGUUUAAGUAUAUAUAUUUGGCAAAACAUACAAAGUGAAAUAGAAAAUUGAAAAAAGAGACGCUUAAAAGAAGUUCUGUUUUGGGGAAAAUUAGAAGGGAAUUGAAAAAUGUUGCAAUAAGGAAAAAACACAGAAUCGUUGCCCUAGAUAUAUCUAUUGUAGUGGUUAUAAAACAACGAUACAAUAGAC
rnacentral:lncRNA from 1 species